CGCGUAGGCGGUUUUUUAAGUCAGAUGUGUAAUCCCCGAGCUUAACUUGGGAACUGCAUCUGAGACUGGAAGGCUAGAGUACUGGAGAGGGUGGCGGAAUUCCUCGUGUAGCGGUGAAAUGCGUAGAGAUGAGGAGGAACACCAGUGGCGAAGGCGGCCACCUGGACAGUAACUGACGCUGAGGCGCGAAAGUGUGGGUAGCAAACAGGAUUAGAUACCCUGGUAGUCCACGCUGUAAACGAUGAACACUUGGUGUGGAGGGAGUUGACCCCUUCCGUGCCGGAGCUAACGCGUUAAGUGUUCCGCCUGGGGAGUACGGUCGCAAGGCUGAA
rnacentral:rRNA from 1 species